GACGAACGCUGGCGGCGUGCUUAACACAUGCAAGUCGAACGCUGAAGCCCUUUCGGGGGUGGAUGAGUGGCGAACGGGUGAGUAACACGUGGGUAAUCUGCCCUGCACUCUGGGAUAAGCCUUGGAAACGGGGUCUAAUACCGGAUAGGACACAUCGCCGCAUGGUGUGUGUGUGGAAAGUUCCGGCGGUGCAGGUUGAGCCCGCGGCCUAUCAGCUUGUUGGUGGGGUGAUGGCCUACCAAGGCGACGAAGGGUAGCCGGCCUGAGAGGGUGACCGGGCACACUGGGACUGAGACACGGCCCAGACUCCUACGGGAGGCAGCAGUGGGGAAUCUUGCGCAAUGGGCGAAAGCCUGACGCAGCAACGCCGCGUGGGGGAUGACGGCCUUCGGGUUGUAAACCUCUUUCGACCGGGACGAAGGGUGACUGACGGUACCGGUAGAAGAAGCACCGGCUAACUACGUGCCAGCAGCCGCCGUAA
rnacentral:rRNA from 1 species